UACAUAGGGGGCGAGCGUUGUCCGGAGUUACUGGGCGUAAAGGGCAUGCAGGCGGUCGGACGCGUUUCGGGUGACAGCGGGUGGCUUAACUACCCGAGUGGUCGAAAGACGGUUUGACUUGAGGACGCGAGAGGGACACGGAAUUCCGGGUGGAGUGGUGAAAUGCGUAGAGAUCCGGAGGAACACCGAAGGCGAAGGCAGUGUCCUGGCGCGUAACUGACGCUGAGGUGCGAAAGCCAGGGGAGCGAACGGG
rnacentral:rRNA from 1 species